AGGGAUCAUUAUAGAGUUACCUAACUCCAAACCACUGUGAACAUACCACUGUUGCUUCGGCGGGUCUCCGGUCGUCCGCGGCCGCCCCGCCGGAGGUAUCAAACUCUGAUUUCUAGUGAAUCUUCUGAGUCUUAUAAUAAGCAAUCAAAACUUUCAGCAACGGAUCUCUUGGCUCUGGCAUCGAUGAAGAACGCAGCGAAAUGCGAUAAGUAAUGUGAAUUGCAGAAUUCAGUGAAUCAUCGAAUCUUUGAACGCACAUUGCGCCCACCAGCACUCUGGUGGGCAUGCCCGUCUGAGCGUCAUUUCAACCCUCAGGGCCCGUCCGCGGGACCUGGCGUUGGGGAUCAGCAGCCCGCUGGCCCUGAAAUCUAGUGGCGGUCCCUCCGCGACCUCCCCUGUGCAGUAGUGAUACCUCGCAGCGGGAUAGCAGUUUGACCACGCCGUAAAACCCCCACUUCUCAAGGUUGACCUCAGAUCGGGUAGGAAUACCCGCUGAACUUAA
rnacentral:rRNA from 1 species